AUUGAACGCUGGCGGCAGGCCUAACACAUGCAAGUCGAGCGGAUGAAGGGAGCUUGCUCCUGGAUUCAGCGGCGGACGGGUGAGUAAUGCCUAGGAAUCUGCCUUGUAGUGGGGGAUAACGUCCGGAAACGGGCGCUAAUACCGCAUACGUCCUGAGGGAGAAAGUGGGGGAUCUUCGGACCUCACGCUAUCAGAUGAGCCUAGGUCGGAUUAGCUAGUUGGUGAGGUAAGGGCCUACCAAGGCGACGAUCCGUAACUGGUCUGAGAGGAUGAUCAGUCACACUGGAACUGAGACACGGUCCAGACUCCUACGGGAGGCAGCAGUGGGGAAUAUUGGACAAAGGGCGAAAGCCUGAUCCAGCCAUGCCGCGUGUGUGAAGAAGGUCUUCGGAUUGUAAAGCACUUUAAGUUGGGAGGAAGGGCAGUAAGUUAAUCCCUUGCUGUUCUGACGUUACCAACAGAAUAAGCACCGGCUAACUUCGUG
rnacentral:rRNA from 1 species